rnacentral:rRNA from 1 species
CACCUCUUGACACCAUAAGAGGCCCAGCCUGCCCAGUGACUUUGUUCAACGGCCGCGGUAUCCUAACCGUGCGAAGGUAGCGUAAUCACUUGUCUUCUAAAUAAAGACUAGUAUGAAAGGCACCACGAGGAUUAAACUGUCUCCCCCCUCUAAUCAGUGAACCUAAUCUCCCCGUGAAGAAGCGGGGGUAAAUUUAUAAGACGAGAAGACCCUAUGGAGCUUAAAACACCACCCACGUGCCACUUAAAUUCUCCACACUGAGGUACCCCCUACUAUAACCCGCACGCUGACUACAUGUUUUUGGUUGGGGUGACCGCGGAGAACAAACCAUCCUCCACGAUGAAUGGGAACUUCCCUAAACAACAAGCCACAACUUUACUUAUCAAUAAAUUGACAUUCAUUGACCCAAAUUAUUUUGACCAACGAACCAAGUUACCCUAGGGAUAACAGCGCAAUCCACUUCAAGAGCCCAUAUCGACAAGUGGGCUUACGACCUCGAUGUUGGAUCAGGGUAUCCCAGUGGUGUAGCCGCUACUAAAGGUUCGUUUGUUCAACGAUUAAAACCC